rnacentral:misc_RNA from 1 species
CUGAGUUAUCCAACUCCCAAACCCCUGUGAACAUACCUAUGUUGCUUCGGCGGGCCGUCCCGCGGCGCGCCCACGUGGCGUGACCCGGACCCAGGCGCCCGCCGGGGAACCAAACUCUUGUCUUCCAGUGUCUCCUCUGAGUGGCAUAAGCAAAAAUAAACA